rnacentral:rRNA from 1 species
UGGGGGAAUUUUGGACAAUGGGCGAAAGCCUGAUCCAGCAAUGCCGCGUGUGUGAAGAAGGCCUUCGGGUUGUAAAGCACUUUUGUCCGGAAAGAAAUCCUUGGCUCUAAUACAGUCGGGGGGAUGACGGUACCGGAAGAAUAAGCACCGGCUAACUACGUGCCAGCAGCCGCGGUAAUACUUAGGGUGCAAGCGUUAAUCGGAAUUACUGGGCGUAAAGCGUGCGCAGGCGGUUUGCUAAGACCGAUGUGAAAUCCCCGGGGCUCAACCUGGGGAACUGCAUUGGUGACUGGCAGGCUAGAGUAUGGCAGAGGGGGGUAGAAUUCCACGUGUAGCAGUGAAAUGCGUAGAGAUGUGGAGGAAUACCGAUGGCGAAGGCAGCCCCCUGGGGCCAAUACUGACGCUCAUGCACGAAAGCGUGGGGGAGCAAAACAGGAUUAGAUACCCUGGGUAGUCCACGCCCUAAACGAUGUCAACUAGUUGUUGGGGAUUCAUUUCCUUAGUAACGUAGCUAACGCGUGAAGUUGACCGCCU